AGUGAACGCUGGCGGUAGGCCUAACACAUGCAAGUCGAACGGCAGCACAGUAAGAGCUUGCUCUUACGGGUGGCGAGUGGCGGACGGGUGAGGAAUACAUCGGAAUCUACUUUUUCGUGGGGGAUAACGUAGGGAAACUUACGCUAAUACCGCAUACGACCUACGGGUGAAAGCAGGGGAUCUUCGGACCUUGCGCGAUUGAAUUAGCCGAUGCCGGAUUAGCUAGUUGGCGGGGUAAAGGCCCACCAAGGCGACGAUCCGUAGCUUGUCUGAGAGGAUGAUCAGCCACACUGGAACUGAGACACGGUCAAGACUCCUAAGGGAGGCAGCAGUGGGGAAUAUUAGACAAUGGGCGCAAGCCUGAUCCAGCCAGACCGCGUGGGUGAAGAAGGCCUUCGGGUUGUAAAGACCUUUUGUUGGGAAAGAAAAGCAGCAGGUUAAUACCCAGCUGUUCUGACGGUACGCAAAGAAUAAGCACCGGCUAACUUCGUG
rnacentral:rRNA from 1 species